rnacentral:rRNA from 1 species
GGGUUGUGAGGUUAAGCGACUAAGCGUACACGGUGGAUGCCCUGGCAGUCAGAGGCGAUGAAGGACGUGCUAAUCUGCGAUAAGCGUCGGUAAGGUGAUAUGAACCGUUAUAACCGGCGAUUUCCGAAUGGGGAAACCCAGUGUGAUUCGUCACACUAUCAUUAACUGAAUCCAUAGGUUAAUGAGGCGAACCGGGGGAACUGAAACAUCUAAGUACCCCGAGGAAAAGAAAUCAACCGAGAUUCCCCCAGUAGCGGCGAGCGAACGGGGAGCAGCCCAGAGCCUGAAUCAGUGUGUGUGUUAGUGGAAGCGUCUGGAAAGGCGCGCGAUACAGGGUGACAGCCCCGUACACAAAAAUGCACAUGCUGUGAGCUCGAUGAGUAGGGCGGGACACGUGGUAUCCUGUCUGAAUAUGGGGGGACCAUCCUCCAAGGCUAAAUACUCCUGACUGACCGAUAGUGAACCAGUACCGUGAGGGAAAGGCGAAAAGAACCCCGGCGAGGGGAGUGAAAAAGAACCUGAAACCGUGUACGUACAAGCAGUGGGAGCACGCUUAGGCGUGUGACUGCGUACCUUUUGUAUAAUGGGUCAGCGACUUAUAUUCUGUAGCAAGGUUAACCGAAUAGGGGAGCCGAAGGGAAACCGAGUCUUAACUGGGCGUUAAGUUGCAGGGUAUAGACCCGAAACCCGGUGAUCUAGCCAUGGGCAGGUUGAAGGUUGGGUAACACUAACUGGAGGACCGAACCGACUAAUGUUGAAAAAUUAGCGGAUGACUUGUGGCUGGGGGUGAAAGGCCAAUCAAACCGGGAGAUAGCUGGUUCUCCCCGAAAGCUAUUUAGGUAGCGCCUCGUGAACUCAUCUCCGGGGGUAGAGCACUGUUUCGGCAAGGGGGUCAUCCCGACUUACCAACCCGAUGCAAACUGCGAAUACCGGAGAAUGUUAUCACGGGAGACACACGGCGGGUGCUAACGUCCGUCGUGAAGAGGGAAACAACCCAGACCGCCAGCUAAGGUCCCAAAGUCAUGGUUAAGUGGGAAACGAUGUGGGAAGGCCCAGACAGCCAGGAUGUUGGCUUAGAAGCAGCCAUCAUUUAAAGAAAGCGUAAUAGCUCACUGGUCGAGUCGGCCUGCGCGGAAGAUGUAACGGGGCUAAACCAUGCACCGAAGCUGCGGCAGCGACGCUUAUGCGUUGUUGGGUAGGGGAGCGUUCUGUAAGCCUGUGAAGGUGUACUGUGAGGUAUGCUGGAGGUAUCAGAAGUGCGAAUGCUGACAUAAGUAACGAUAAAGCGGGUGAAAAGCCCGCUCGCCGGAAGACCAAGGGUUCCUGUCCAACGUUAAUCGGGGCAGGGUGAGUCGACCCCUAAGGCGAGGCCGAAAGGCGUAGUCGAUGGGAAACAGGUUAAUAUUCCUGUACUUGGUGUUACUGCGAAGGGGGGACGGAGAAGGCUAUGUUGGCCGGGCGACGGUUGUCCCGGUUUAAGCGUGUAGGCUGGUUUUCCAGGCAAAUCCGGAAAAUCAAGGCUGAGGCGUGAUGACGAGGCACUACGGUGCUGAAGCAACAAAUGCCCUGCUUCCAGGAAAAGCCUCUAAGCAUCAGGUAACAUCAAAUCGUACCCCAAACCGACACAGGUGGUCAGGUAGAGAAUACCAAGGCGCUUGAGAGAACUCGGGUGAAGGAACUAGGCAAAAUGGUGCCGUAACUUCGGGAGAAGGCACGCUGAUAUGUAGGUGAAGCGACUUGCUCGUGGAGCUGAAAUCAGUCGAAGAUACCAGCUGGCUGCAACUGUUUAUUAAAAACACAGCACUGUGCAAACACGAAAGUGGACGUAUACGGUGUGACGCCUGCCCGGUGCCGGAAGGUUAAUUGAUGGGGUCAGCGCAAGCGAAGCUCUUGAUCGAAGCCCCGGUAAACGGCGGCCGUAACUAUAACGGUCCUAAGGUAGCGAAAUUCCUUGUCGGGUAAGUUCCGACCUGCACGAAUGGCGUAAUGAUGGCCAGGCUGUCUCCACCCGAGACUCAGUGAAAUUGAACUCGCUGUGAAGAUGCAGUGUACCCGCGGCAAGACGGAAAGACCCCGUGAACCUUUACUAUAGCUUGACACUGAACAUUGAGCCUUGAUGUGUAGGAUAGGUGGGAGGCUUUGAAGUGUGGACGCCAGUCUGCAUGGAGCCGACCUUGAAAUACCACCCUUUAAUGUUUGAUGUUCUAACGUUGACCCGUAAUCCGGGUUGCGGACAGUGUCUGGUGGGUAGUUUGACUGGGGCGGUCUCCUCCUAAAGAGUAACGGAGGAGCACGAAGGUUGGCUAAUCCUGGUCGGACAUCAGGAGGUUAGUGCAAUGGCAUAAGCCAGCUUGACUGCGAGCGUGACGGCGCGAGCAGGUGCGAAAGCAGGUCAUAGUGAUCCGGUGGUUCUGAAUGGAAGGGCCAUCGCUCAACGGAUAAAAGGUACUCCGGGGAUAACAGGCUGAUACCGCCCAAGAGUUCAUAUCGACGGCGGUGUUUGGCACCUCGAUGUCGGCUCAUCACAUCCUGGGGCUGAAGUAGGUCCCAAGGGUAUGGCUGUUCGCCAUUUAAAGUGGUACGCGAGCUGGGUUUAGAACGUCGUGAGACAGUUCGGUCCCUAUCUGCCGUGGGCGCUGGAGAACUGAGGGGGGCUGCUCCUAGUACGAGAGGACCGGAGUGGACGCAUCACUGGUGUUCGGGUUGUCAUGCCAAUGGCACUGCCCGGUAGCUAAAUGCGGAAGAGAUAAGUGCUGAAAGCAUCUAAGCACGAAACUUGCCCCGAGAUGAGUUCUCCCUGACUCCUUGAGAGUCCUGAAGGAACGUUGAAGACGACGACGUUGAUAGGCCGGGUGUGUAAGCGCAGCGAUGCGUUGAGCUAACCGGUACUAAUGAACCGUGAGGCUUAACCUUACAACGCCGAAGCUGUU